rnacentral:rRNA from 1 species
AGCGAACGCUGGCGGCAGGCCUAACACAUGCGAGUCGAACGAACCUUUCGGGGUUAGUGGCGGACGGGUGAGUAACACGUGGGAACGUGCCUUUAGGUUCGGAAUCACUCAGGGAAACUUGUGCUAAUACCGAAUGUGCCCUUCGGGGGAAAGAUUUAUCGCCUUUAGAGCGGCCCGCGUCUGAUUAGCUAGUUGGUUGAGGUCAUGGCUCACCAAGGCGACGGUCAGUAGCUGGUCUGAGAGGAUGAUCAGCCACAUUGGGACUGAGACACGGCCCAAACUCCUACGGGAGGCAGCAGUGGGGAAUCUUGCGCAAUGGGCGAAAGCCUGACGCAGCCAUGCCGCGUGAAUGAUGAAGGUCUUAGGAUUGUAAAAUUCUUUCACCGGGGACGAUAAUGACGGUACCCGGAGAAGAAGCCCCGGCUAACUUCGUG